rfam:Schistosoma haematobium scaffold729_4, whole genome shotgun sequence.
UUGCUGUGAAAGACUUGAGUAGUGAGACGCUUAUAGCAUGGUUUUCCCUUCGGCGCCUCAUACUGAGUCUUUCCCGGCUCA